AUACUUACCUGGCAGGGGAGACACCUUGAUCAUGAAGGAGGUUUUCCCAGGGUGAGGCUCAGCCAUUGCACUCUGGCUGUGCUGACACCUGUGAUUUCUCCAAAUGCAGGAAAUUCGACUGUAUACUUUGUGGUAGUGAGGGACUACAUGCACGCUUU
rnacentral:snRNA from 1 species